rnacentral:rRNA from 1 species
UAGGGAAUCUUCCACAAUGGACGCAAGUCUGAUGGAGCAACGCCGCGUGAGUGAAGAAGGUUUUCGGACCGUAAAGCUCUGUUGUUGGUGAAGAAGGAUAGAGGUAGUAACUGGCCUUUAUUUGACGGUAAUCAACCAGAAAGUCACGGCUAACUACGUGCCAGCAGCCGCGGUAAUACGUAGGUGGCAAGCGUUGUCCGGAUUUAUUGGGCGUAAAGCGAGCGCAGGCGGAAGAAUAAGUCUGAUGUGAAAGCCCUCGGCUUAACCGAGGAAUUGCAUCGGAAACUGUUUUUCUUGAGUGCAGAAGAGGAGAGUAGAGCUCCAUGUGUAGCGGUGGAAUGCGUAGAUAUAUGGAAGAAUACCAGUGGCGAAGGCGGCUCUCUGGUCUGCAACUGACGCUGAGGCUCGAAAGCAUGGGUAGCGAACAGGAUUAGAUACCCUGGUAGUCCAUGCCGUAAACGAUGAGUGCUAAGUGUUGGGAGGCUUCCGCCUCUCAGUGCUGCAGCUAACGCAUUAAGCACUCCGCCUGGGGGAG